CAUUAACUCCCCUUCAUUUCACUUUCCCAUAACACCUCUCAUCUCCUCUCACGUUCCCAAUUCCCACUAACUUCAAAUCUUUCAACUCUCCCAUCCUCCACCUCCAAAAUCACCGGUCACCUACAGACCCUUUUACCCCUUCACAACCAAGCCUCCAUCUUCUCCUUUCAUCACCGCAACAACAACGACCAGGUGUAUCCUCAAACCACCUCCAACCUCCCAUUCAUCAACUGAAGCCCCAGAUCCAUUUGGCCUAAUGGCUCCAAAAUGCAGAAAAUGCAAUGAAGCUUCAACUUCCAACUCACUGGCAGACUCGCGACACAGAACUACAAGGGGUACCCCUACAACAACCGGUUCCACAUACUUUGCUCCAUGGUGUAUCCACAUCUAGCACGUCCCCAAAUUGGAUCAACAGGUUCAACAUGUUUGAGCGGAGGUAGCAACACUUAAAAGAGUCCGUCCACUCCUUACAACAAUAUAUGGGCACACAAUUCGCUGCCAUUAACACGUGUCUAGAUGGUUUUGGCGCUACACUAGGGACGAUGAACCAGUUGAUACAAGAUUUACAUCACUUUUCUCUACCUCUUGAUUAUCCACCUCCACUACCACCUCAAUGAGCGGAAUUAUUGGAGCUUAGCGCGGAUUCGGAGUCAAGAAGGAGUUAAGGAAUGCAAGGAAAGAAGGCUACACGGAUCCCCAGUGUCCAUCAACACAGGAGUGUUUAAUACAGAAGAAAAAGCCCAGAAAGCAGAGCGAAAUAGAGUUAAACACGGCCUGGUCGUGUUGAUCUGCACAGUCGUGUCGAUAUCAGAAUUCAGUUACAAAACGAUCUAGAGCAGGAUUUGAAGUUAUCUUUCAAUACGUCUUUUCCAGAAUUAAAAGGGAGAUGCCCUGAAGCAUUAGGGAUGGAACCAGAGGCUGGAGAUCUUUAUUUUUCUUUCUUCUUCUUUUCCUCAUCUCUCUAAAAACUCUUAGAUUAGGUUUUCUUUGAUUUUUAGCAAAGUACUGUUUGUGGAGAUUGGUGUAACACAUCGACUUCGAUAUUAUGGUUUUGUUUUCUAUUUCAUCUUAUUUUCCAGUUUAUUAUUAA